rnacentral:sRNA from 1 species
UGAGUCCAAGGGUGGAAUGAGGGAAGAGCAACUGAAGAACUGAGGGCCUGGACAUCUGGGCCCCAGUGGAGGAAGGGAUUCACGAACUCUCGCGCCGAUGAGAGCCCUUGCCCCAGGCCCCAUCUCACUUCUGUCUUCCCAUCUGGUUCCUGCCCCGACACCCACCUCUCCCAUUUCCCCAGCGGCGGCUGUUUGAAAAGAAGCAGCGACAGAAGCGCCAGGAGCUCCUCAUGGUUCAGGCCAAUCCCGACGCUUCCCUGUGGCUUUGGCGCUCUUGUCUGCGGGAGGAGCGCCUUUUAGGUGACAGAGGCCUUGGGAACCCUUUCCUCCAGAAGAAAGUGUCAGAGGCACAUCUGCCCUCUGGUAUCCACAGUGCCCUGGGCACCGUGAGCAGUGGUGGAGACAGCAGGGGCGAGCACGGCCUCCCGACACCGCGGA